AGAAACUGAGGGUGGAGUCUGGCGGCAUGCCCUUGUAAUCCUACUGCAGGGAAGGCAGAGACAGGUGGAUGCCUAGGAUUGGCUGGCCAGCUGGCCUAGCCUACUUGAUGAGUUUCUGGCCAGUGGGAGCCUCUUGUCUCAAAAAGUAAAGAGCAGUUGCAACUAAUGUUACUGGCCCAUGUUCACCUAAGACAAUGAAGAUCCAGGAAGAUGAAGGGAUUCCCAAGUUCCCCCAGCAGGUGAGAGGCAGAGGAAGGAGUGGAAAUUCUGUCCCUACUCUUCAGAGGCCUUGGUUUGAGAGAGACUCUUCAAAAGGACAGUGUAUUCAAAGGGACAUCACAAAAGCACCCCUGCCUGACCAACUGCGGAGCUGGAGUUCCUGCUGGGCUGCUUCUGCAAGCAGAGGGGAGAUUCUGUGGCCCGCCUGACCUCUGCCUUUGUGGAGGAAUUAAAUCCCAUUUAUUCCUCGAA